rnacentral:tRNA from 2 species
GGAGGGGUGGCCGAGAGGCUGAAGGCGGCGGUUUGCUAAACCGUUGUACGAUGUCAAGUCGUACCGUGGGUUCGAAUCCCAUCCCCUCCG